GGACUGGUGGUGUAAUGGUGACACACCUGCUGUCAUUAGAUGAAGUUGACAUUGCCUAGUUCAGCGGGAGACCCUUGUUCAAUUCAAGGUCAGACCC